rnacentral:rRNA from 1 species
CGUGUAGGCGGCCUUCCAAGUCCGAUGUGAAAGCUCGGGGCUCAACCCCGAGUCUGCAUUGGAAACUGGUUGGCUUGAGUCCGGAAGGGGAGACUGGAAUUCCUGGUGUAGCGGUGAAAUGCGCAGAUAUCAGGAAGAACACCGGUGGCGAAGGCGGGUCUCUGGGACGGUACUGACGCUGAGACGCGAAAGCGUGGGGAGCAAACA